AUCCGGGUUGCGGACAGUGUCUGGUGGGUAGUUUGACUGGGGCGGUCUCCUCCUAAAGAGUAACGGAGGAGCACGAAGGUUGGCUAAUCCUGGUCGGACAUCAGGAGGUUAGUGCAAUGGCAUAAGCCAGCUUGACUGCGAGCGUGACGGCGCGAGCAGGUGCGAAAGCAGGUCAUAGUGAUCCGGUGGUUCUGAAUGGAAGGGCCAUCGCUCAACGGAUAAAAGGUACUCCGGGGAUAACAGGCUGAUACCGCCCAAGAGUUCAUAUCGACGGCGGUGUUUGGCACCUCGAUGUCGGCUCAUCACAUCCUGGGGCUGAAGUAGGUCCCAAGGGUAUGGCUGUUCGCCAUUUAAAGUGGUACGCGAGCUGGGUUUAGAACGUCGUGAGACAGUUCGGUCCCUAUCUGCCGUGGCGCUGGAGAACUGAGGGGGGCUGCUCCUAGUACGAGAGGACCGGAGUGGACGCAUCACUGGUGUUCGGGUUGUCAUGCCAAUGGCACUGCCCGGUAGCUAAAUGCGGAAGAGAUAAGUGCUGAAAGCAUCUAAGCACGAAACUUGCCCCGAGAUGAGUUCUCCCUGAGACUUUAAGUCUCCUGAAGGAACGUUGAAGACGACGACGUUGAUAGGCCGGGUGUGUAAGCGCAGCGAUGCGUUGAGCUAACCGGUACUAAUGAACCGUGAGGCUUAACCUUACAACGCCGAAG
rnacentral:rRNA from 1 species